ACGAACGCUGGCGGCGUGCUUAACACAUGCAAGUCGAACGGAAAGGCCCUGCUUUUGUGGGGUGCUCGAGUGGCGAACGGGUGAGUAACACGUGAGUAACCUGCCCUUGACUUUGGGAUAACUUCAGGAAACUGGGGCUAAUACCGGAUAGGAGCUCCUGCUGCAUGGUGGGGGUUGGAAAGUUUCGGCGGUUGGGGAUGGACUCGCGGCUUAUCAGCUUGUUGGUGGGGUAGUGGCUUACCAAGGCUUUGACGGGUAGCCGGCCUGAGAGGUGACCGGCCACAUUGGGACUGAGAUACGGCCCAGACUCCUACGGGAGGCAGCAGUGGGGAAUAUUGCACAAUGGGCGGAAGCCUGAUGCAGCAACGCCGCGUGCGGGAUGACGGCCUUCGGGCUGUAAACCGCUUUCGCCUGUGACGAAGCGUGAGUGACGGUAAUGGGUAAAGAAGCACCGGCUAACUACGUG
rnacentral:rRNA from 1 species